GACAGAGGCCUCAAGCGUUAUGCGGAAUCACUGGGCUUAAAGCGUGUGUAGGCGGAUCGUUAAGUACCUUGUGAAAUCCCACGGCUCACCCGUGGAACUGCUGGGUAUACUGGCGAUCUUGAGCCACUUAGGGGUCAGCGGAACAAAUGGUGGAGCGGUGAAAUGCGUAGAUAUCAUUUGGAACGCCAAUGGUGAAAACAGCUGACUGGGAGUGUGCUGACGCUGAGACACGAAAGCCAGGGGAGCGAACGGG
rnacentral:rRNA from 1 species